rnacentral:rRNA from 1 species
UACUAGCGGUCCAAGUCGCAGCCAUUUUUAUUGGGUCUAAAACAUCCGUAGCUUGCUUAGUAAGUUUCUUGUGAAAUUCUCAGUCUUAAGCCUAGA